UUCAUUUCUAGAACACGACAACCUGAACUGCACGACCGCCUCCCAAGAUACUGAUUCGUCCCAUCCGAGAUUGUGUUCGACGAUGGUUGAUGACAUGGACGAGAACGGGAACGGAGAUCCACUACCAGGCCCCUGAAAAACUACUACCAGGCCCCUGUAAAGUAGGGUGUAGUGUGAUAUUGUAAAUAGUGUGAUUUUUUUAAUAUAGUGCGAUAUUGUAAAUAGUGUGAUUUUUUUAUUUUUAAACUUCAAUAUAAACUCAAACAUCUGAUAUUGUUUCAUAUUUACACAAAUUGCCCAUGCAAAAAGGAAUGUUUCUCAAUUCGCGUUCUUUUCCGUACUUGUGUGCUUGCGUUCUUGUGAAACGUCAUCAGUCUUAGCCCAAGUACUGUUCCAAUUCAAAGUACGCAUCAGGCCAAGUACUGUCGUAAAACCCGGAAGUGUUCUUGAUGCGUUCUUAAAUUGGCCGAAAUAUCGAGCCUGCAUCGAUGGUGACUUGUGUGGAUUUGGGACCGUCAAAUAUCCCAGGAUGCAUUUCGCAUUCCUGUUUUACAA